UCCACUCCAGCACUCUUGCCUGGAAAAUCCCAUGGACAGAGGAGGCUGAUAUAGGCUACAGUCCAUGGGGUCGCAAAGAGUCAGACAGGACUGAGUGACUUCACUUUCACUUUCAGCAUCCUCAGAGAGAUCCUUUUUACCAGAUUGGUCCAAGACACUAACAAGGGGCCCAGUAGGCUCUACACAAGUCUAGAAGCUUCUGUCCACUGAAAACACACACACAUUUAACUUGCCCACUUACCCAUCAUGCAUCUAUUUAACAGUUAAUAUAUGCCAGGCGGGGCCCUAAGCCUUGGAAAUGACGACAUGAAUCAGAAGAUUCCUCCUGUUAGAGAGCUCAGAGUCCAGUCGUCAAUUCAAAACCUUCACAAAUAAAAAUGAAGCAUCUCAAACGCAUGUAAAGAGGGGAGUAACAACUCUAAUAACCACUCUAUGAUUUAUUCCCAGAGCAUCUUUUGUAAGAAGUAUUUGUCCAUUAGCAGCCUAUGUCUUUGUUACUGUGGGUUACAUUUCUUUCCUUUUAAAUCUUUCAUUACAUAUAUGCCAACGGGCUGGUUCAGAUGCUAAAUUUAGUGUAACAGUUCUUCAAAGUAUCUUCAGAGUCUGCCUCAAGCGCCUGCCUCUGGCCUUAAAGGGCAAAUCAAAACGUUUCCAAUUGGUUUCCAGCCCACAUUACAAUGUGUAUGUGUAUUUGAAAGACUGUUUCUUGGCUAUAAUUGGUAGUUUUCUUGUAGCUAGUUCUGAGGAAAGAAUUGCAGAGAGCUCUCUGUCUGCUAACAGUAGUUAGCGCUGAGCUCAAAAACAGCAGGAAAAAAAAUGAAGUCUGAGUGUCUGGGAUGCUUGCCAGACUGACCUCCAGAGUUUCUUGCAGCAGAAGGUUUUUAGCCGAGCAGACGCAGGGCUCCUCCUGUCGAGACCAGGGCUCUGCCUUUUAACUUCUCUCCUUGUAGCAGAGAGAAGAAAAGGUAACCACCAACUCCUUUAAUUAUCUUGCAGAAAUCUCACUGUCAUCAGUGACACACGUAACACAUGGAUUCCUCCAUACUGUGGUCAGGAAAAGACAAGAUGGCACCACGCAUGUUCUUUCUAGGAGCACGUGUGUCACAUUCAAAGAGGAAGUUACCAUUCGUUUUCUCGGACGAUGGAAGGUAGCCCGUGAUGGUUCCUUUCCUCCGGGCCCCUCGGCUCUGCGCCAUGGGGACGAGGCUUGGCUGCAUGCGAUUGCUGAAUGCGGGAAACACCGCGGCCUGCAUGGAGCGCCACGGACAAGAGUCUGUGUGUAGCACCAUUUGGGAUGUGGAGAGAGGCCCCCAGACACUGCGAGGCAGCACCACUGCCUCCCCGAGGAUGACCCGCAGGGACACGCCUUCUCGCGAGUCACCACCAACUCAAGGGCGCAGGAGGGAGUGAAUUACAGUCGCUGGGCUUUUCAUCCCCCUGCACUGUUUUUAAGAGUCUCCUUUAGGUUAACUUGAAGAACAGAUUCCAGAAAAGAAUCUGAUACAAGGCAACCCAACUUUUCAAACAGCAUCUCCAGCCAAGAAGGUAGCAUGAUUACGACAGUGAUGAAGCAGUUGAAAGGGUCUCAUUACCUUUACCAAGGUUUCCCAGCUUCUCCUAGGCCUGAACAGAAAUCCUUCCAGAGAGCUCCUUCCACCAGACCGUGGUCUCCACUCUUUCUGUGAUGCAUCUUCAUUUCAGAUUUUAAUGCCUGAUUUCUGACAUUUUAAUACGGCAACCUGUGAACGCUGCCUACAUCAGGAAGACGGGGGAUCUUUGAAGCUCUCUGUCCUAAGCUUCAUUUGCAAUUAGGUUGCAGGCAAUGGGCAGCGAUGGGGAUGUCGUAUGAAGGACAAAAGAGCAGGUGAGGGGUUGCCACGCUUCCCUCCUCCCCAGCCGUCACGAUGAGGCUGCCACAAGUUCCAGAGGGCACAGUUCAAAGGCAGGGGAGGCUGGGUCUGGCCUGCCUGGAUCCUGAGUGACCAUAUGGAGCAGAGCCUCCGCUGGUCUGUGUUGCUGUGCUCUGCGUGGGAUGACUCAAGUUUACAUGCGAAGCGGGCUGGCCCUCCUUACCCGGAUCCCUUCAUCCCAUCACGACGCUGCCAACUUCACUCUGGCGGGAACCACGCCCACUGACGUCGCCCUGUAUCUCAGUUCCUCCACUCCCAAAUUUCAGCCGCCUAAUCUGAUGAGCAGUUUCUACAAGUGAGAAGGCUUUGCUCAGGAAACACAUGGUUUAUUUAACUCCGGCCUUCUGAAGACAAUGCCCCUGUUUUUCUUGUUUCUCCCAAUAAAAAUCAGCUCGUAGCAAGUCAAUACAGAAUUAUUUUUUUGGCAACAAAAGCUUCUCUGUAACAUUCAAACUAUGCGUUUCCCUGUCCAGAAGUAAGGUUGGUUUUGGCCAUGGUUCCUUAGAACAGCGAGGACAGGCAUAAUCGUUUUUCUUUCCUUCUCUCCUCUUUUGCAUGCCAUGAACAUUCCCAACUUUUUCACAGAGGCAUUAGAAACUGGGCGAGUCUUUCAACUGUUUCAGACGCACACACACAAUCCAUAGCUAAUGGUGAUAACUGAGAGAACACGAGGCCUGUUUGUUUUCUUUUGGGCUCUUGCCCUUUCUUUUUUGCCAAUUUCCACAGGCAGGGAAGGAGCUCACAGGACUUGCACUCCGUGGAUUCGAGCGACGGGAGGCUGAAACAGAGCAUUAGCAAAACACAUUAGGGAAAGAUCACGUUGCGAGAAGAGCAGGUUGGAGCUGGGAGGGCGGCCUCCCGCUGAGUUUGGAAUCCAGGGGUGUGCAGCUGGGUGCGAUGGUGCUCACCCCUGGGGAUGUUCCCCUCCCUGCAUUGUGUAGGAUCUACCAGGCGGGACCUCCCUGUUCAACCCAAACUGUGGUACGUGGCACCUGAUUUAAAGGGACUCGCUCUGAAAAGCCUUGCUGUCGUCAGCACAGCUUCCAUGAACCGUCGCUCAGAGCGCGUUCCCAUUGGCUACGGGCGACUCUGGCCCCGCUGCUGAUUGGCUGCGUGUCUAGGUACUUGACCUCCUGGAAUCUCUGGUUUCUUCAUCAAUGAGAAGAGUUAACGCCCACCUUGAGAGCUGUUGUGAAGAUUCGUGGAAAUACCAUACGUCAAUGGGUCUGGAAGACAAUAGGCCCUGCGCAAUGAUCUCUGAAGUGUGUUUGUAUCAAACGGCCCAUCCCAAAGCUUGGCUUUUGAUGGAUUUUACUCUUGACCACAAGUCACCCUGUGUUGCUGUUUUUUUUUUUUUUUCUUUAAAAUCUCUGUCUCUUUCAAUGGACAUACAAAGCAUUCAUAUUAAAGACAUUACAUAACAUACAUAGCAUCUUUGUAUCCCUCUACCCGGAGAUGGGACUUCCGUGUUGGCUGAGAUGGUAAAAGCG